rnacentral:rRNA from 1 species
ACGGGGGGGGCAAGCGUUGUUCGGAAUUACUGGGCGUAAAGGGCUGGUAGGUGGCCAACUAAGUCAGACGUGAAAUCCCCAGGCUUAACCUGGGAACUGCGUCUGAUACUGGAUGGCUGGAGUUUGGGAGAGGGAUGCGGAAUUCCAGGUGUAGCGGUGAAAUGCGUAGAUAUCGGGAGGAACACCUGUGGCGAAAGCGGCGCACUGGACCACAACUGACGCUGAGGCGCGAAAGCUAGGGGAGCAAACAGGA